UGUUUUAUUUGACAAUGCGUGGGUAAAUUUAUUUCGCACAGUAAUGAAGGUAAAUUGUCAUCGAAAAUAACGUGCCAGUUGUUUUAGGUACCCAGUUUCUGGUAUUGCGGUGGAUCAAUUAAACCCAAAUCAAAACUAUCUUGGAUGAUAUUUUGACACAUUCUGGCAGACCAAUUUGAAUUCUACAUGCCUUUCGGUAACAUGGUGGAAAUGGUACCUGCAAAUACAAACUUUUACCGAAUAUUAACUAGAAGUAAAGAUGCCAAAAAUGAGCCAUCACUGGCAUCUAUAUGCCUUCACAAGAACAAAAUCAACCAGCGUCACUUACCGCUCAAAAUAAAAAUUACCGCUCAAAGUAAAAAUUAUUUUGACAAUUAAUUGCUUGAAUGUUUUGGCCAUUAAGAGAAGGGAUGGAAAAUUACUUCACUUUGGAGAAAGUAGAUGUAAUAGCAGCGUGUUUUCCCACCUGCAUGCAAACAUUGUACAUGCAUCAUAACCAAACAGUGAAUGGACAAAUUCAAUGCUAUUAUUCCCCACCCAUUUCCCGUGAGCAAACAUUAAAGCAGAGUCAAAUGGUAAUUGAUGAGUGAUGUCCAUUUGUUGUUAAAGUGGGGACAAUGCCAGCCCAGCAUUCUACAGCCGGGAUAAGAAAUGUCUCUGAGACCCUGUCGCUUUGCUGCCUGCUGCAAAACAGAAAUGCCUUCAUGUCAUUUGCUUGAGAUUUAAAAGAAGGAACAAGAAAAACCUCUGUCACUCAAAGGCUUUCACUUCAAAACAUAUUUUUUAGGUAAAAUCAUAACCUUUAGUACCUGCAUGCCGCAGAGAUACAGAAUUACAGCACAUCUUACUGAUAUGACCUGCACAUAAAAGAACACAGGCUUUUCCACUUUACCUCAUAUCGGGGCUCAUACUAAUGAAACUCCCAAAGUGUUGAGAUAACUGUGGAAUUUAACAGUAUCUUAUACUCUUUUAUAAAUGCUGCUGUGACUUGCGAAAUAAAUUGAUGAACAGUUGAAGAAAUAGCCCUGCAAUAUGAGAUCAUUAUAUACAAUGUUUUAAAAUUUGGAUUAUCUAUCAGUCUAAAUCGUUAAUUUAGAAUGAAAGGAUAAAUAUGUUUGUAGGAAUAAUUAAACAGGUCACUGAAUAUAAAACACAUUUUUUACAAAGACUCCAUCAGAUAAAAAAAUUAGGCUGAACUGUCCAGAUUUGAUGAAAAGAACCAAGUCAUUUUUUACAGAAGAAUUAUUUUAAAUCUGUUUGGCUCCAUCAUUUACUCAUAUAAAUUAUUCUAAAUAAAUAAUACAAUAGAUAAAUGCACUAUUCGAUUUACAUGGGCAGGCAUUGGAUCUACCCUGUCUGAGCUUAGCAUGAGCACUAUUCAGUGGAUCAAGCGGAUGGAGAAAAAAACGAUGGUUAAUGAUGAAUUCAUGAAUAAAUUGAUUUUCAUCAAUUCCAUUUCUCCAUAACUAUUCCGCAUGCCUGCUUUGAUGAGGUUGAGGCGUCAUUUGAGCAUCAUUUCAAAGGAUCUAAACCAAGUAGUUGUUUGUUCAUGUCUGAAUCUUGGCCUCCCCUCACCAUUGUAGGAAGCUUGCAAAUGCACAUCAGCAAGUCUGACUUCAUUUUAUCCUGAAUAACUUAAUUGUGACACAUCAUCACAAAACAAAAUCUGUAUGUUGAAUUUGAGAGGAGGUAAUAUAUUCAGCUGACUUUCGACCAGCUCAUCAUACUUUUCAUCAUUCACAUCCCUGCAUUUUUCAGAUCUUGCUUGUGACUGGAGGUGAGGAAUGAGGCCUGAAACAACCACUUGGCUAUUAGUCCAACUAUUUUCCUCUAGGCUCAAGAUCCAAAGCUGAAACAAAAUAAUGAUUUCCAGCAUUUACUUAUACUAUGAGAAUUAUUUAUGAUGUAACCAACAAUGCAAAUUGAGAGUAGAAGCAUGGAAAAGCAGAUGCUGGUCU